rnacentral:lncRNA from 1 species
GCUAGUUGAACAAGCCAAAUUGAACCCCUACUUGCUUCUACCUUUCUCGUAUUUAAUUUCUAAAAACAGAUAAAAGUAUUAAGUUGAUGCUGGCAUCAAUAUUACAUAAUCUUUAUCAAAACUAGAGUUACCAAUGGCGCAAAGAAUAUUUAAUUUGAGGAGAAUGUUAACAUCGACAUAUACAAGAUAACCAUUGGAAUUGGCCAUGUUGACUUGAAGAAAUCAGGUUUGUGUUAUGAGUAAUACUAAAAAACCUAAUUUUAAUCCCCACCAAAUACAAUUUGAACAUUCAUAAUUGAAAAUUUUAAUGUAAUCCAUGAUUAACUAAAAUUUAAGCAUACUCAAUUGCACAAAUUUUCUAUAGAAACAGAAAAUUAAAUUCUAUUUUCCACCUUUUUGCAUGAUCAAUUGGACAAAUUUUCUUGACAACUGAUUUUCCUAACAACCCUCAUUUUCCACCUUUUUCAAGAAUUGGGAAAGAUUAUUUUUGGUUUUUCAAUUUUUUUUCCCCAAUUGAAACAAAUUCUAUCCGUAGUUAUAACAAGUUAUAUCCCUUUAAUAGAUAAUUUUUAUAAGAAAUAAAAACUAAAUGAACACCAAAAAAUCCAAAAUUACAAUAUUUUUUAAAUAAAAAAUUAUACCAAUCACACACAUUUAAUUAACAAUUCCCACACAUUUAAUUAACAAUUCCCAAUAAAACAUAUUCUAGACAAUUCAAUUUCCAACAAAAUUAAUUUUUGUUCCACCCAAAUUCCCUUUUUUAUAUCAAACAAUACCUUUUAAUCUUCUAAAAUCCAUCAAAAUCCCAGCUCCGUACACCCCGUAGUAAUUUUUAUUUUUUUUUUGGUCAAACGAAAGCUUGUUUUGAACCACCAAAUAAACACAUUUUAGGUGUAAACUGCAAAGUGAUCCCGGUUAUACAAUUGGUAUAUCGAAAAUAUGCCAAGACAACCAUCUUUAUGAGAUUUCUAAUCAAAACAGACUAGCAAUUCCAAAAUGAAAACAAAACAAGUAAACUAAACACCAUCUUACCCCCUUUAAAACUCUUCAAUUUAAUUUAAUUCUCUCCCCUACUUUCAACCAUACAAUCUUCAAUAAAAUAUUUUCACACUCAAAUUGAAAACAUUUCAACCACACAAUCUUCAAAUACACACUUUUCCCCCAUUAUAAAUCCAAAUAAUGGGGGCCAAACAGGUGCUAACUCAGCGCACAAUUUUCUUGCUCGACUCAAAUUCAUGAAAAAUAGAUAAAUAUAGUGUGUUCUGAACUGCAUAAUGACACUUCCCUCUGCAAAGACAAAAACUUGUAAUUAAUUUACUUUACCGCUCGCCAGCGUUCCAACAGUAAGAAAUGGCAAUUAAUGCAGGAACCAGAGCUAAAUUGGAACGAACAGUAUUCAUUGGGAGGGGACGUAUUUUUAUUCUUCACCUUAAAACAAAUAGCAGAAAGCAGUUUUAACUUCAGGAUAAACAGUAGGAAAGAGUAAGCAGCACCCACAGCAGCAGGAAUUACACGAAUGUAAAACGCGACAGAAGCAGAAACUCUGAUCAUCGAGGGAGCAAGUCCUAGCAGCAGCAACAUCAAUAUCAGCGAGCGAUUGUACCAGGGAAAGGCAACAAUCUGAAAUGCCAAGCCUAAUACUUUCAGCAUAUCCAAGAAACAGUAGCAACAGCAGCAGAAGAGGCAGCAGCAAUCAAUGACAACUAGUGACUGUAUAUGGCACAAUAACAGCUAGCAGCAGCAGCAGCAAUUAAUGCACUAAUAGCAGCAGCAACAUAUAUCAAAGAGUGAUUGAAAAUGGCCAUCAAGCAUAGUCACUUUCAGGAGACUCAUUAUUACCAGCAACCAGUAGCAACAGUUACCAUCAUGUAGCCUUGGUCGACCCGACGAUGCCCUUGCUCACCAAGUAACAACUAUCUAGAAGACUAGAACAUCUAAACCCUCAACUAAUUCAAACAAGAUGGCCUUUGAGAAUUUUACAACUUUCAUCACAUUUACAGGAAGAGUAUCGAGGCCAGAUAUGUCUAUAUAACAGGAUAAAUGUUAAAUAAACUCUGCUUCAAAAGCAUAAUUAUGCAAUAGACGGCAAAAUGAGAUAACUGUUAAAUAAAUUUAACAAAUGUUAAAAAUAUUCUGUAUCAAAUGUUGAAUUCAAUUGCCAAGCAGAAUUGAUAAUUUUAAACAUCACAUUUCUUUUAGAAUUUGAAAGAAUGA